rnacentral:rRNA from 1 species
GAUGAACGCUGGCUACAGGCUUAACACAUGCAAGUCGAGGGGAAACGACGGGGAAGCUUGCUUCCCCGGGCGUCGACCGGCGCACGGGUGAGUAACGCGUAUCCAACCUGCCUCUGACUGAGGGAUAACCCGUCGAAAGUCGGCCUAAUACCUCAUGGCAUCGUCUGCGGGCAUCCAACGACGAUUAAAGAUUUCAUCGGUCAGGGACGGGGAUGCGUCUGAUUAGUUUGUUGGCGGGGUAACGGCCCACCAAGGCUACGAUCAGUAGGGGUUCUGAGAGGAAGGUCCCUCACAGUGGAACUGAGACACUGGCCAAACUCCUACGGGAGGCAGCAGUGAGGAAUAUUGGACAAUGGGCGGGAGCCUGAACCAGCCAAGUAGCGUGCAGGAUGACGGCCCUAUGGGUUGUAAACUGCUUUUAUGCGGGGAUAAAGUGAUGGACGUGUCCUUCAUUGCAGGUACCGCAUGAAUAAGGACCGGCUAAUUCCGUG